rnacentral:rRNA from 1 species
GACGAACCACACAAACGUUAUUCGGAAUUACUGGGCUUAAAGGGUGCGUAGGCUGCGCAGAAAGUUGGGUGUGAAAUCCCUCGGCUCAACCGAGGAACUGCGCCCAAAACUACUGUGCUUGAGGAAGAUAGAGGUAAGCGGAACUUACGGUGGAGCGGUGAAAUGCGUUGAUAUCGUAAGGAACACCUGUGGCGAAAGCGGCUUACUGGGUCUUUUCUGACGCUGAUGCACGAAAGCUAGGGGAGCAAAC